CCCUGAUGUCACACUGCCAAGAAAAUCUUCUAGCGAGGUUCUAGCCGCCCGUACCCCAAACCGACUCAGGUGGUUAGGUAGAGAAUACCAAGGCGAUCGAGUGAAUCGUGGUUAAGGAAUUCGGCAAAAUACCCCCGUAACUUCGGGAGAAGGGGGGCCCAGAGGGUGACGGGACUUGCUCCCCGAGCCUGAACGGCCGCAGAGACCAGGGAGAAGCGACUGUUUACUAAAAACACAGGUCCGUGCCAAGUCGCAAGACGAUGUAUACGGACUGACGCCUGCCCGGUGCUGGAACGUUAAGGGGACCGGUUAGCCUCACGGCGAAGCUGAGAACUUAAGCGCCAGUAAACGGCGGUGGUAACUAUAACCAUCCUAAGGUAGCGAAAUUCCUUGUCGGGUAAGUUCCGACCUGCACGAAUGGCGUAACGACUUCUCCACUGUCUCAACCACGAACUCGGCGAAAUUGCACUACGAGUAAAGAUGCUAGUUACGCGCAGAAGGACGGAAAGACCCCGGGACCUUUACUACAGCUUGGUAUUGGUGUUCGGUACGGCUUGUGUAGGAUAGGUGGGAGACUGUGAAGCUGACACGCCAGUGUCGGUGGAGUCAACGUUGAAAUACCACUCUGGUCGUUCUGGAUAUCUAACCUAGGUCCGUAAUCCGGAUCAGGGACAGUGCCUGGUGGGUAGUUUAACGGGGGCGGUUGCCUCCUAAAAGGUAACGGAGGCGCCCAAAGGUUCCCUCAGCCUGGUUGGCAAUCAGGUUUCGAGUGUAAGUGCACAAGGGAGCUUGACUGUGAGACUGACAAGUCGAACAGGGACGAAAGUCGGGACUAGUGAUCCGGCGGUGGCUUGUGGAAGCGCCGUCGCUCAACGGAUAAAAGGUACCCCGGGGAUAACAGGCUGAUCUUGCCCAAGAGUCCAUAUCGACGGCAUGGUUUGGCACCUCGAUGUCGGCUCGUCGCAUCCUGGGGCUGGAGUAGGUCCCAAGGGUUGGGCUGUUCGCCCAUUAAAGCGGUACGCGAGCUGGGUUUAGAACGUCGUGAGACAGUUCGGUCCCUAUCCUCUGCGCGCGCAGGAAACUUGAGAAGGGCUGUCCCUAGUACGAGAGGACCGGGAUGGACGAACCUCUGGUGUGUCAGUUGUUCUGCCAAGAGCACCGCUGAUUAGCUACGUUCGGGAGUGAUAACCACUGAAAGCAUCUAAGCGGGAAGCAUGCUUCAAGAUGAGGUUUCCAUGGGGUUUACCCCGAGAGGCUCCCAGCUAGACUAC
rnacentral:rRNA from 1 species